UACAGAGGGUGCAAACGUUGCUCGGAAUUAUUGGGCGUAAAGCGCACGUAGGUGGCCAUGUAAGUCAGGAGUGAAAGCCCUCGGCUUAACCGGGGAAGUGCUUUUGAAACUGCACGGCUUGAAUACUGGAGAGGGUCGCGGAAUUCCCGGUGUAGAGGUGAAAUUCGUAGAUAUCGGGAAGAACACCCGUGGCGAAGGCGGCUCUCUGGGACGGUACUGACGCUGAGACGCGAAAGCGUGGGGAGCGAACAGG
rnacentral:rRNA from 1 species